rnacentral:tRNA from 1 species
UAGCUCAGUGGUAGAGCGAUCGACUGUUAAUCGAUUGGUCGCUGGUUCGAAUCCAG